CAGUCGCCGCGGGAAUACGUAGGGUGCAAGCGUUAAUCGGAAUUACUGGGCGUAAAGCGUGCGCAGGCGGUUGUAUAAGUCAGAUGUGAAAUCCCCGGGCUCAACCUGGGAACUGCAUUUGAGACUGUAUGGCUAGAGUGUGUCAGAGGGGGGUAGAAUUCCACGUGUAGCAGUGAAAUGCGUAGAUAUGUGGAGGAAUACCGAUGGCGAAGGCAGCCCCCUGGGAUAACACUGACGCUCAUGCACGAAAGCGUGGGGAGCAAACAGGAUUAGAUACCCGCGUAGUCCCUGUCUCUUAUAA
rnacentral:rRNA from 1 species